CAGCCGGAGCUAGGUUAGGAGAGUGGCGCGGGAGCGCGCUGGCCUCUUCUCUAUUUUCUCAACUUAACGCUUCAUUUCUCUCUCCUCUCUCUUCUGACCCUCUCCCCUGUUUCCCGACCCGACGACAAUUUCUCCGACGACGGCCACGCUCUCUCUCCGCCGACGGCAACGCUCCCUCCAGACGACGGCCUCUUCCGCUCCCUAUGGCAUUCUCUCCGCUCACUCUCGUGACCUCUGUCUGCCUGAAUUCCGCUCUCUCCCGACGACCGAUUGGGCUCGGCUUUCUCCGUCCCUCCCGACUGGCGACCGAGAAGCCAUCGCUCUACUCUCUCGGCUAAUCGUCCAUCGAUGACUCGCUUCCAUGCUCCGUUCAAAGCCGUCUCUCCCGAAAAGCCCUAGAUCUGCGACGACAAGCCCCGCUUUUCAGGGAUGAUUCUUGCAGAAUGGAGAAGCAGUCGCUUUGCCCUCUGGUCUAAUCUUCAAUCGCUUCCACACUCGGCUCGGUUCAAAGCCGUCCCUCCCGGGAAGCCCUAAAUCAGUGGCACACCACAAUCCGACCAGGCCUCAUCAUUUCGCUUUGGGUUGUCUUCACUGGUCUCUGGUCUUGUUUAAAAUAGAGUCAAAUUCUUGUUUAAUCGGAACUGGGGGAUGGGGAAUGGGUUAGAAGCAUUAGUUGGCCUCUCUAUUAUGCAUAAUGCAAUCUUUUGAUCAGAUUUAAUAGUGCGGAUGGAGAGUUCCAGAUAGCAAAUGCGUGAACCUAGUCAUCCUUAAUCGCUUUUGAUUAGUUUACCGGGAUGGGUCGUUACGCCUGAAAUUAAGAAUUAUUUGUACUCUGUCUGUUUCAUUCUUGUGUUUUCUAGUUGGGUUCACGGUGGUUUUUUUUAUUUCUUUUGGUCAAUGGGAAAGACUAAUUUCUUUUGGCCGGAAGUUUUCUGUUGCGUAAUGAUGUGAUUUCAGUCUACCUUGGUUACUGCUCAUUUCCCAGCUUAUGUGGGACGUUGACUCUGGAUUAUUAAAAGAAAGAAAAGGUGCCGUUACUUGUUAUCUCGUCCCUGUUAGCUCAUGCUGCUUGCUUUAAAGAAAAUUAGGAGGAAUUUGCCGGUUGACAAUGCUAAUGAGAGGCUGAGUGACGGUGGCAUCCAUGGAUUAAGAUGCCUUAGAAUUAUCUGGUGGUGAUGAGUCUGCAGCAGCAUCUGAUAAAGCUCAUCGCAUAAAUGGCGAGGGAUUACAAUUUGAACGUCGACAACUUUGUAGUUCUUUCAUUCUGUUCUAUUGAUGUUAGCUAACUACCUGAUUGCUACUUUCCAAGAAUUGAAUUUGAUAAGUCUCAUUAACAAAUGUGGAGUAUUGCGAGUUGUGGCUGUGCAGAAACUCAUGUUACUGAAAAAGUGAUUCUUCAAAAUUAUAAUGAAUGCUUGAGAGAUCACAUGGGAAUUAGCUGUCGCAUUCUUGAGUGUUCAAUAUAUCAACCUAACCUACUAUGUGGUAAAUGAUGUGAGAUUUACCGAAAAGGAUGCAAUGAUCAAUGAGAUAGGUUUGAUGGUAGUACCAAACUAGUUCAGUGGCUUUUGGAGCAAAAUCAUCCUCUAAACACUUAGGUUGAAUGAAUAAUCCCUUGACAAUGUUAAAACUGAUCUUUCAAUCAUUUUGGAAUGGUCUAAAUGGUGUCUGGUGAUGCUUGUUGCUAGCAAAAUGUGAUUGAAGGAGCAAUUCAUUGAGUUGGAGCUCUGAAUUUUCUUUGGCUCAUGCGGUACAAUACGGAUGUAAUAAUGAGAAACUAGGACUAAUGUACUAGUGUUUGUUGCAGCUGAUGCUUAUUGCAGCAUUUGUCGCAGCUGCAACUUUUGUGCAGAUCUUAUGGCAUAAGCUAAGGUGCGCACUAACUAUUUUCUUCUUCUCCUUUAGGAAACAGAACCCCAAUGCAUCGGUCUCAAAAUGUGCAAAUACACAUAAGUUGCUUUGCUUGAGGUCACGAUCGCAUCAUUAGGAUGACACAAUGGCUCUCUGGCAAUAGCCGAACUCUGCAACUCAAAUGCGUCAGUCGUGGCAAGCGGCGACCUGCUUGUGCUGCAUCCAAUAUUCCGGAUAUAUGGCCAGAGCAAAAUGUUCUUGGGUCCUGUUGUCACUCUCAAUGGAUUCGAUGACCACAUCCUGAUUCGAGGACAACAUCCUGGUUCCGGAGCUGCUCGAAACUAGAGACAAAGGGAGAGCGUUGGUUGUCAAUGGCGGAGGAAGCUUGAGAUGCACUCUGGUGAGUGGGGACACGAGACAGUUGGCUUAGAACAUGGGAUGGGCUGGGAUUGUUAUGAAUGGCCGCAUUAGAGACGUGGACAAGAUCAAUGAGUGUGCGAUCGACUUUAGGGCCUUGGCUUCGCAUCCCCUGAAAUCGAGCAAGAAAGGGGUCGGGGAAAAGCAUGUCCCUCUCUAGAUUGCCGCGCAUUGAUUUACAACGGUGAUGGUUGUAUGCAGAUGGCGAUGGGAUUGUUGUCUCCAACUGAACCGUCUGUAUGAAUCUUUAAGAGAGCUUUUUUCUGGCGCAACUCAACAAGAAAUUGUACUUUGCCAAUUUGCAAUUUGUUUCCUUCUCAUUGAUUUCGCAUUUGGUAGUGGUCAAAGCCAAUGGGCAAGAAAUUCCAAGCUUCUUGUUAUAUGCUGAAUGUCGUAAAAUACUCCCAAUGAGAGCUGGAAUAAAACGAA